GGCCGUGACCGGGCCAGAGCCAUGGACUGCAGCCGGGCGCGGGCGCUCGUGCACCGCUUCUGCCAGUCAAUAGAAAGCAAUUUUUACAGCACUGGAGAUUCAGCAAGAUUGAAUAGGGGUUAUUUUUGGUUUCACGUGGACACCGUCAUCCGAGAAACACAAAAGAAGAUCACAGCAGUGCUGCACAAGGGGGACACCUUUCCCACCGCUGUGGGUCACACCCUGGGGCCAGGAGGCCACGAGCAUGGAUGGAGCAGCGGCGGCCCCUGCCACCUUCCACUCCCCUGGCUUGGCGUGUCGCCCCUCCUGAGAGGCCAGUCCUGCAGCUGCGCUCUGGUGGCCCUGCUGCUCUUCCUGCUGCUCUUCCUGCUGCCCACCUCCCUUCCUCCCG
rnacentral:lncRNA from 1 species